GAGGGUAUAGCUCAAUGGUAGAACAUGUGCUUAGCAUGCACGAGGUCCUGAGUUCAAUCCCCAGUCCCUCCA
rnacentral:tRNA from 1 species